AUCCCUUUUCUGCCUAUUGGCUAAAGUCAGAUGCGGUAUGUUCUUACCAAUUAAAGCAUCUGUUGCAUUUUCCAUUUGUGUACUGGGCACUAAAGUAAUGUUUGGAAUUAGGAGAUGGAUUGGGAGUUUGCUUUAUCUACUUACUGUUUCAACCUAUAAUAGCUUUACUUCCAGGAAUGGUGAAUUCCUU